UUAGAAUAAUUACAAAUAUAUCUUAAAUAAAUCUCAAUGAAGUCCUAAUUUAAUCCUAAUUAAAAUUCUAAUGGAUUCCAAUCAAAUCCUAAGCCAAAUCCUAAAUCUUAAAUCAAAUCCUGAAUAAAUCUUAAAUCAAAUCCUGAAUAAAUCUUAAAUCCUAAAUCAAAUCCUAAAAAAAUCCUAAAUUUUAAACCAAAUCCUAAACAAUUCUUAAAUCCUAAAUUCUAAAUUCUAAACCAAAUCCUAAAUAAUUCUUAAAUCCUAAAUCCUAAAUCAAAUCCUAAAUAAAUCCUAAAUCCUAAAUCAAACCUUAAACUAAAUUCUAAACAAACCUUAAAUCCUAAACAAAACUCUAGUCAAAUC
rnacentral:lncRNA from 1 species